UACGUAGGGUCCGAGCGUUGUCCGGAAUUAUUGGGCGUAAAGGGCUCGUAGGCGGUCUGUUGCGUCGGGAGUGAAAACUUACAGCUUAACUGUGAGCGUGCUUUCGAUACGGGCAGACUUGAGGCAUUCAGGGGAGAACGGAAUUCCUGGUGUAGCGGUGAAAUGCGCAGAUAUCAGGAGGAACACCGGUGGCGAAGGCGGCAUCCUGGACCGACACUGACGCUGAGGCGCGAAAGCUAGGGGAGCAAACGGG
rnacentral:rRNA from 1 species